GAUGAACGCUGGCGGCGUGCCUAAUACAUGCAAGUCGAGCGAACGGACGAGAAGCUUGCUUCUCUGAUGUUAGCGGCGGACGGGUGAGUAACACGUGGAUAACCUACCUAUAAGACUGGGAUAACUUCGGGAAACCGGAGCUAAUACCGGAUAAUAUUUUGAACCGCAUGGUUCAAAAGUGAAAGACGGUCUUGCUGUCACUUAUAGAUGGAUCCGCGCUGCAUUAGCUAGUUGGUAAGGUAACGGCUUACCAAGGCAACGAUGCAUAGCCGACCUGAGAGGGUGAUCGGCCACACUGGAACUGAGACACGGUCCAGACUCCUACGGGAGGCAGCAGUAGGGAAUCUUCCGCAAUGGGCGAAAGCCUGACGGAGCAACGCCGCGUGAGUGAUGAAGGUCUUCGGAUCGUAAAACUCUGUUAUUAGGGAAGAACAUAUGUGUAAGUAACUGUGCACAUCUUGACGGUACCUAAUCAGAAAGCCACGGCUAACUACGUGCCAGCAGCCGCGGUAAUACGUAGGUGGCAAGCGUUAUCCGGAAUUAUUGGGCGUAAAGCGCGCGUAGGCGGUUUUUUAGUCUGAUGUGAAAGCCCACGGCUCACCCGUGGAGGGUCAUUGGAAACUGGAAAACUUGAGUGCAGAAGAGGAAAGUGGAAUUCCAUGUGUAGCGGUGAAAUGCGCAGAGAUAUGGAGGAACACCAGUGGCGAAGGCGACUUUCUGGUCUGUAACUGACGCUGAUGUGCGAAAGCGUGGGGAUCAAACAGGAUUAGAUACCCUGGUAGUCCACGCCGUAAACGAUGAGUGCUAAGUGUUAGGGGGUUUCCGCCCCUUAGUGCUGCAGCUAACGCAUUAAGCACUCCGCCUGGGGAGUACGACCGCAAGGUUGAAACUCAAAGGAAUUGACGGGGACCCGCACAAGCGGUGGAGCAUGUGGUUUAAUUCGAAGCAACGCGAAGAACCUUACCAAAUCUUGACAUCCUUUGACAACUCUAGAGAUAGAGCUUUCCCCUUCGGGGGACAAAGUGACAGGUGGUGCAUGGUUGUCGUCAGCUCGUGUCGUGAGAUGUUGGGUUAAGUCCCGCAACGAGCGCAACCCUUAAGCUUAGUUGCCAUCAUUAAGUUGGGCACUCUAAGUUGACUGCCGGUGACAAACCGGAGGAAGGUGGGGAUGACGUCAAAUCAUCAUGCCCCUUAUGAUUUGGGCUACACACGUGCUACAAUGGACAAUACAAAGGGCAGCGAAACCGUGAGGUCAAGCAAAUCCCAUAAAGUUGUUCUCAGUUCGGAUUGUAGUCUGCAACUCGACUACAUGAAGCUGGAAUCGCUAGUAAUCGUAGAUCAGCAUGCUACGGUGAAUACGUUCCCGGGUCU
rnacentral:rRNA from 1 species